UUUGACCCUAGAGGGGUUGCAGGCAUGGCUGCAGUGUCACAUGUGCAUCUGUAGGUGGCAGAGAGGAGAGAGGAUAUGUCUGUGCUCAGUGUUCUGACCUGUAAACAUCUGAAUGAUUAGUAGCCUAACACU